UACGUAGGGUGCAAGCGUUGUCCGGAAUUAUUGGGCGUAAAGAGCUCGUAGGCGGUUUGUUGCGUCGGCUGUGAAAUCCCGAGGCUCAACCUCGGGUCUGCAGUCGAUACGAGCAAACUAGAGUGUUGCAGGGGAGGACUGGAAUUCCUGGUGUAGCGGUGAAAUGCGCAGAUAUCAGGAGGAACACCGAUGGCGAAGGCAGGUCUCUGGGCCAUUGCUGACACUGGAGAAGCGGAAAAGCAUGGGGGAGCGAAACAGG
rnacentral:rRNA from 1 species